rnacentral:lncRNA from 1 species
UUCAGAGAUUGACAAGACUUGAAUCUGCUUUCUUCUCCCUUAGCUCAUUCUUCUAAACCAGCUAUUUUGCAAUGUAAAAUGUGGUGCCCUCCUGUUGUUCUUAUCCCCAAGCUGCUGGAGACCCAAAAGAAGAUGAACUCUAUGAAGCAGCCAUAAUAGAAACUAACUGCAUUUACCGUCUCAUGGAUGACAAAUUUGUUCCUGAUGACAACUACUGGGGGGAAAUUCCAAAAUGCUCCCUUCUGCAACCCAAAGAGGUACUGGUGUUUGAUUUUGGUAGUGAGGUUUACGUAUGGCAUGGGAAAGAAGUCACAUUAGCACAACGAAAAGUAGCAUUUCAGCUGGCAAAGCACUUAUGGAACGGAACCUUUGACUAUGAGAACUGUGACAUCAAUCCCCUGGAUCCUGGAGAAUGCAAUCCGCUUAUCCCCAGAAAAGGACAGGGGCGGCCCGACUGGGCGCUAUUUGGGAGACUUACUGAACACAAUGAAACAAUUUUGUUCAAAGAGAAGUUUCUGGAUUGGACAGAACUGAAGAGAGAGAAUGAGAAGAACCCCAGGGAACUUGCCCAGCACAAGGAAGACCUCAGGGCUGAUGUCAAGCCGUACGAUGUGACACGGAUGGUGUCCAUGCCCCAGACGACAGCAGGCACCAUCCUGGACGGGGUGAACGUCGGCCGUGGCUAUGGCCUGGUGGAAGGACAUGACAGGAGGCAGUUUGAGAUCACCAGCAUCUCCGUGGAUGUCUGGCACAUCCUAGAAUUCGACUAUAGCAGGCUCCCCAAACAGAGCAUUGGGCAGUUCCACGAGGGGAUGCCUAUGUGGUCAAGUGGAAGUUCAUGGUGAGCACAGCAGGUUAGUGAACACUCAUGGUUUUUUCCAGCUGAAAGAGGCCGGCCCAGCAGCCCUGCAGGAGCCAGCUUCCCCGAUGAGUCCUGUUGUGCUCCCCACUGGGUAUGUGCAGUGGGGCACUGCAGUCAUGCGCCUCUGAGAGCCACUUAGUAAACCACAGAGAUGAAAAGAAGGCCGAAUUCCUAACAACCUAGCAUUGCCGAGGCCGCUGGUGUUCACCUGUAGAAAUUGAACUUGCACAUCAAGUCUUCUCGGCUCCCUCUCUCUCUCUCCUGCCCCUGUCCCCAGAGCUUUUCUGGGAAACAGAAAAGCUCUAAAUGAUGGCCUCUAAAUGAUAUUUCCCAUGUGGCCGUGUGCUGCUUCAAUUAAAGUCGUUGAGUACAGCAUAUCUUCGUGAUUUAAAGCUGGAACCAAAUGGGCUGUAACAUUAUAGUAAAUACACGCACGGAAGAUUGAUUUGAAAAGUGAAAGAGGCUGUUUCUCCCGAGACUGAGAGCACGUGUGGUGCUUUGUGGGUCUGGUAUAGUAAAUGCAGAGUCUAAACUCUCCUCGGUUCCUGAUGGUGACAUACCGCAUUGCAAAACACUGACCUGGAUGCUCUGGAGAAAUCACCCCUUUCCUUGCCAAGGAGGAGCCUUUCCCACAGCG